AGAGUUUGAUCAUGGCUCAGAUUGAACGCUGGCGGCAGGCCUAACACAUGCAAGUCGAGCGGUAACAGGGAUAGCUUGCUAUCUGCUGACGAGCGGCGGACGGGUGCGUAACACGUAGGAAUCUACCCAGUAGCGGGGGAUAGCCCGGAGAAAUCCGGAUUAAUACCGCAUACGCCCUACGGGGGAAAGACGGCCUCUUCUUGAAAGCUGUCACUAUUGGAUGAGCCUGCGUCGGAUUAGCUUGUUGGUGGGGUAAUGGCCUACCAAGGCAACGAUCCGUAGCUGGUCUGAGAGGAUGAUCAGCCACACUGGGACUGAGACACGGCCCAGACUCCUACGGGAGGCAGCAGUGGGGAAUAUUGCACAAUGGGCGAAAGCCUGAUGCAGCCAUGCCGCGUGUGUGAAGAAGGCCUUAGGGUUGUAAAGCACUUUCAGCGAGGAGGAAAGGGUGCAGGUUAAUACCCUGUAUCUGUGACGUUACUCGCAGAAGAAGCACCGGCUAACUCCGUGCCAGCAGCCGCGGUAAUACGGAGGGUGCGAGCGUUAAUCGGAAUUACUGGGCGUAAAGCGUGCGUAUGCGGCUUGUUAAGUUGGAUGUGAAAGCCCCGGGCUCAACCUGGGAACUGCACCCAAAACUGGCAAGCUAGAGUGCGGAAGAGGAGUGUGGAAUUUCCUGUGUAGCGGUGAAAUGCGUAGAUAUAGGAAAGGAACACCAGUGGCGAAGGCGACACUCUGGUCUGACACUGACGCUGAGGUACGAAAGCGUGGGGAGCAACAGGAUUAGAUACCCUGGUUAGUCCACGCCGUAAACGAUGUCUACUAGUCGUUCGGGGCUCUUGGCAGCCUUUGGUGACGCAGCCUUAACGGCGAUUAGUAGAUCGCCUGGGAGU
rnacentral:rRNA from 1 species